rnacentral:rRNA from 1 species
AUUGAACGCUGGCGGCAGGCUUAACACAUGCAAGUCGAACGAGUGGCGGACGGGUGAGUAAUGUCUGGGAAACUGCCUGAUGGAGGGGGAUAACUACUGGACACGGUAGCUAAUACCGCAUACCAUCGGAUGUGCCCAGAUGGGAUUAGCUAGUUGGUGGGGUAAUGGCUCACCAAGCCGACGAUCCCUAGCUGGUCUGAGAGGAUGACCAGCCACACUGGGACUGAGACACGGCCCAGACUCCUACGGGAGGCAGCAGUGGGGAAUAUUGCACAAUGGGGGCAAGCCUGAUGCAGCCAUGCCGCGUGUAUGAAGAAGGCCUUCGGGUUGUAAAGUACUUUCGGUGAGGAGGCGUUACCUACAGAAGAAGCACCGGCUAACUCCGUGCCAGCAGCCGCGGUAAUUC